GCUCAAACACCCUAUGGCGCACCGGAAUCCCAUUUACCCCCAACAUGAACUUGGAGACCCUCCGGUUCAAUUUAACCCGACAACGGUCCAUUGCCCGUUGAUUAUGGGCCCGCUGCCAGUAAUUUCGUGAAAUUACCUCAGACCAGACCAGUCGAACGUCCGGGAACAGAAACAAUACCCGCGCUAAAUCCCUCUUAAUUGCGUUCCCCAACCCCCAAAUAGGCAUAGUCCCGAGAUCAUUACCCCCCAGGUGAAUUACAAGGACACUAGGUGGACCCAAAAGCCGGGCAAGCUGAAUUAGCUCAGGGAGGAGCCGGACCCACUUCAUACCUCUAUUCCCAAACCAGCGAACCUCCGCUUCAGAAGGCGUGAAACCAAGCAGCUCACCUCCCGGACGGACAGCCGCCCGCCGUCUGGCCCAGAAGACAUA